rnacentral:rRNA from 1 species
CGGUUGGGCACUCUAGAGGGACUGCCGGCGACAAGUCGGAGGAAGGUGGGGAUGACGUCAAAUCAUCAUGCCCUUAUGACCUGGGCUACACACGUGCUACAAUGGGCGGUACAAAGGGCUGCGAACCCGCGAGGGGAGCGAAUCCCAAAAAGCCGCUCUCAGUUCGGAUUGCAGGCUGCAACUCGCCUGCAUGAAGCCGGAAUCGCUAGUAAUCGCGGAUCAGCAUGCCGCGGUGAAUACGUUCCCGGGCCUU